rnacentral:rRNA from 1 species
UACGUAGGCAGCAAGCGUUGUUCGGAAUUACUGGGCGUAAAGAGUGUGUAGGCGGUGCUCUAAGUCUGUUGUGAAAUCUCCCGGCUUAACCGGGAGGGUGCGGCGGAAACUGGAGUGCUUGAGGGUGGGAGAGGUAAGCGGAAUUCCUGGUGUAGCGGUGAAAUGCGUAGAUAUCAGGAGGAACACCUGUGGUGUAGACAGCUUACUGGACCACUUCUGACGCUGAGACACGAAAGCGUGGGUAGCAAACAGG